rnacentral:pre_miRNA from 7 species
GUUGCAAGAUGCUCUGUGUGUGCAUUUUAGCCAAGUGCUCAGAUGCUUGUGGUGGCUGCUUAUGCACCACGAAUGCUUGAGCAUGUGCUAUGGUACCUACUUUUACAACAUUGCCAUCU